GACGAACGCUGGCGGCGUGCUUAACACAUGCAAGUCGAACGGCAAGGCCCUGCUUUUGUGGGGUGCUCGAGUGGCGAACGGGUGAGUAACACGUGAGUAACCUGCCCUUGACUUUGGGAUAACUUCAGGAAACUGGGGCUAAUACCGGAUAGGAGCUCCUGCUGCAUGGUGGGGGUUGGAAAGUUUCGGCGGUUGGGGAUGGACUCGCGGCUUAUCAGCUUGUUGGUGGGGUAGUGGCUUACCAAGGAUUUGACGGGUAGCCGGCCUGGGAGGGUGACCGGCCACAUUGGGACUGAGAUACGGCCCAGACUGCAACGGGAGGCAGCGGUGGGGAAUAUGGCACAAUGGGCGGAAGCCUGAUGCAGCAACGCCGCGUGCGGGAUGACGGCCUUCGGGUUGUAAACCGCUUUCGCCUGUGACGAAGCGUGAGUGACGGUAAUGGGUAAAGAAGCACCGGCUAACUACGUG
rnacentral:rRNA from 1 species